rnacentral:rRNA from 1 species
CCCUUAGAUGUUCUGGGCUGCACGCGCGCUACACUGACAUACUCAGCAAGUUUCCUUGCCUGAAAGGGUUGGGUAAUCUUGUUAGUGUAUGUCGUGAUGGGGAUAGAAUAUUGUAAUUAUUGCUCUUUAACGAGGAAUUCCUAGUAAGCGCAAGUCAUCAGCUUGCGUUGAUUACGUCCCCGCCCUUUGUACACACCGCCCGUCGCUCCUACCGAUUGAGUGGUCCGGUGAGGCUUUGGGAUCUGAGCGGAAAGAGCGUUUCGCUGUUUCUGCUCGGAAAACUCAGUCGAACCUUAUCAUUUAGAGGAAGGAGAAGUCGUAACA